rnacentral:sRNA from 1 species
AACAUUUUAUAGAUAGAUACAAUUUACAAAUUUUUAUAUAUAUUAAUUUAAAAAAUAAAUUGUUUUUGCAAUGUACCGCGGGUUAAAAUCUAGUAUUUUUACAUUUUUGUAUUAGUUGGGCGAAAUUU